UACAGAGGGGGCAAGCGUUGUUCGGAAUUACUGGGCGUAAAGGGCGCGUAGGCGGCCUUCUAAGUCGAACGUGAAAUCCCCGGGCUCAACCCGGGAACUGCCUCGGAUACUGGGCGUCUCGAGUGUGGUAGGGGUAUGCGGAACUAUCGGUGGAGCGGUGAAAUGCGUUGAUAUCGAUAGGAACUCCGGUGGCGAAGGCGGCAUACUGGACCAC
rnacentral:rRNA from 1 species